rnacentral:rRNA from 1 species
GACGAACGCUGGCGGCGUGCUUAACACAUGCAAGUCGAACGGUGAAGGAAGAGCUUGCUCUUCCGGAUCAGUGGCGAACGGGUGAGUAACACGUGGGCAACCUGCCCUGACUCUGGGAUAACUCCUCGAAAGAGGUGCUAAUACCGGAUACGACCACUUCGGACAUCCGAUGGUGGUGGAAAAGUUUUUCGGUCAGGGAUGGGCCCGCGGCCUAUCAGCUAGUUGGUGGGUAAUGGCCUACCAAGGCGACGACGGGUAGCCGGCCUGAGAGGGCGACCGGCCACACUGGGACUGAGACACGGCCCAGACUCCUACGGGAGGCAGCAGUGGGGAAUAUUGCGCAAUGGGCGAAAGCCUGACGCAGCGACGCCGCGUGAGGGAUGAAGGCCUUC